UUAAGAAAAUUACACAAGAUGAUGCUGUUCCAUCAUAUUUACAGACCGUGCUUCAAGGAAGAGAAAACAUGCAGAGAACACAACCAAUCAAGCAGAUAGCCCCUCUACCCUGACCUUAAAUAUUGCAGAAUCACAGACGACAACGGGGGAUGAGGGUUUCUGCAGGACCUGCUUGAGGACGGCACCACAGAGAAGCAAACGUCGACAAAGCAAGAUUCUGAAUACAGAAGCAGGUACCAACCUGAUGAUCAUCUUGAGGAGAAAGACAACACCAUCAGUUGUGAACAAACUUUUGUUUGGAUGGGUAGAUUCAAGAAAAUCCUUUGUGCUAUGCCAAAGACACAUCAUUGUAUGAUUGUUCGAGGAAACAGAUACACAGCGUUCUGCUAUGAACAACGUUACAAUCCAAUUCUUCCAGCAUGUAGAAGUGCCAACAGUGUGUGGUGUAGCCUGAGUGUUCUGCUAUGAACAAGGUUACAAUCCAAUUCUUCCAGCACGUAGAAGUGCCAACAGUGUGUAGUGUAGCUUGAUUCUAGUGGUACUGGUAACUCUUUGGAAGGAGUCCAAAAUAUCACAAUACACAUGCACCUUUUUUAAAGCCGAAGCCUUUUGUUGAAACAGGACUUUUUAAUGUGUACUUGUUGAUGGUAUCAGAUCUGUAUACUCAUUUGGCAUAGUGAACGUCUUCUUUCGAUCUUGUAAUUUGUAUAUGGUUCAUAUGCACUGCCUCUACUGGGUAAUGCAUUUUAUUUGUAUUUAUGAUUAGAAGUGUCCUGCCAUCAUUUAAAUUGUGGCAUCGUAGUACUUCCAUCCCUGUACAGUCUUACAAGCUUAAGAGGUUUGGCACCAUUUCUUCUCCUUUUUUCCAGCUUUUCCGAUAAUAAUGCUAUGUUUUUGGUCACACAAAGUUCUCUGAUGAU